GCAGGAGAUUAGCCUUACCUUGGCAAAUUAGCUUGCGGCCCUAAAGCUGUAUGUUUCCUUAAUCUGAAGUGUGCACAAAUAUUUGUGUUUAAUGAGUGAAAUGUAUCCGUUUGACUGACAUGAACCUUUAGGAAAGACAGAUCCUAAAGUUGGCUUCACUUGGUAGUAACUAUGGAAACCUCAAGAAUGUUGUUGAGGUCCUGAAGGCUUUUGAGUUGUAUUGUCAGGUCCCUCUGUUACUUAAAACCAACAAGGAACUUUAUCAUUUUUCCCUGACACUGUAAGCUUGAUAGAAUACACUGUAUGCCACUACAUGUUGUCUCAUUAUUUUCGUGUGCUUUUCUUAAAAUGUGUGUGAUGAUUGUCGCUAACAAUGUCGGAAAGAUUCCAACAGAAAAUAAAUUUCUCUGUAGUGAACCCUCUAAGCAAAAAGAAAAGAGAAUCACUUAUUCAUCAUUGAUUAAAUCUAUUUAAGAGUUAUAAUUUUUUUGUUGAUAAUCUUCAGUGUAAACUCUAUUAUUUUUUGCUUCAUUGCCAGGUUUAUGCACUUUUCCCAUGGUAUAAUAUAAGAAACAAAAUCAAUUUAUUGGAUCACAAUCAUAUCUCGGAGUAUCUGCAGCACUGUAAGUGAUCUUGUAUAGUUGGAAUGUUACAUUUCACUUUAAUUGCUUUGCUGAAUGUGCGGACUAAGAAAAUUUCAGUUUCUCCUGUCAUCAAUAAGUGUUAUAAGAUUUAGAUUAUUAAAUUCAGGAAAAAUUCAAAAUAUAUGAGAGCACUAACCAUGUUUCGGUUCCUUGACUGAGGACGUACGAACUUGCAAAAAGCACGAGCAUAGAAGCGAAACAAGGAGAUUAUUGAAGGGGAUUAAGCUUCCAAGUGCGGCAACUAGGAACAUCUCGAUCGGUGAUUUGAAGUGUGUUCUUCAAUAGCAUGGUGCAUGGAUAUUUGCACGUGUUCUCCUGAUGCAACACAAGCUAUUUAAUUAGUCAUAGAACUACAUACAAGGCUCUGAUGCAAAAAAG
rnacentral:lncRNA from 1 species